rnacentral:rRNA from 1 species
UACGUAGGGGGCAAGCGUUGUCCGGAAUUAUUGGGCGUAAAGAGCGCGUAGGCGGUCCGAUAAGUCGGCUGUGAAAGUCAGGGGCUCAACCCUUGAAAGCCGGCCGAUACUGUCGGACUAGAGUCCGGAAGAGGCAAGUGGAAUUCCCGGUGUAGCGGUGAAAUGCGCAGAUAUCAGGAGGAACACCGGUGGCGAAGGCGGGUCUCUGGGCCGUAACUGACGCUGAGGAGCGAAAGCGUGGGGAGCGAACAGG